rnacentral:rRNA from 1 species
CAAGGAAUUUUCCGCAAUGGGGGCAACCCUGACGGAGCAACGCCGCGUGCGGGACGACGCCUCUUGGGGUGUAAACCGCUUUUGCCGAGGACGAGAACGGACGGUACUCGGCGAAUAAGGACCGGCUAACUACGUGCCAGCAGCCGCGGUAAUACGUAGGGUCCGAGCGUUGUCCGGAGUUACUGGGCGUAAAGCGCGCGCAGGCGGCCCUUUAGGCACGACGUGAAAGCCCCGGGCUCAACCCGGGAGGGUCGUCGUGAACCGGGGGGCUUGAGGCCGGUAGAGGUGGGUGGAACUCCUGGUGGAGUGGUGAAAUGCGUAGAGAUCAGGAAGAACACCCGUGGCGAAGGCGGCCCACUGGGCCGGUACUGACGCUGAGGCGCGAAGGCGUGGGGAGCGAACGG